UAUAGUAUCAAUUGACUGCCGUAGACAGCAGGUGCGAAAGCGUAAGUAGACCAACGCCUGCCGAGGAAAGUUAGAUUCGAUCGUUAGAAUUAUAACGCCUCUGUGUCUUUGGCACAGAGGCGUUUUUGCUAUAUUG
rfam:Dorea sp. 5-2 genomic scaffold acPFE-supercont1.14, whole genome shotgun sequence.